rnacentral:lncRNA from 1 species
GUCAGUUCUUUUAUAAAAAAUUCUUGUCAAUGUAUACAGAACGUCCUACAAAACAAGAAGACAAAAUGUGUAAGGAACUAGGCACUCAUAUAGAAAAUUGGGAUUUCUUUUAUAGUUUACCCUUUUGUUGCACUAAAAACAACAAAUUUAGUAUGUUCCAGUUUAAGAUUUUACAUAGAACUCUCGCUACAAAUGCAUUAUUGCAGAAAUACGGGUUAAAAGAAACUAACUUAUGUAGUUUCUGUAAUGAAACUAAAGAAACUAUAAGUCACCUUUUCUGGGAAUGUAUGCUAGUUAGAAAUUUGUGGUUAGAAAUUGCAGCACUUUUUCUAGUUGAAAAUAAUUUAACUUUAAUUCUUAAUGUGGAAAAUAUUGUUCUUGGGUCAGAGUCUUGGGAUAUUUCCCUAAACUUAUUCACUAUUCUGGUUAAAUAUUAUAUUUAUACAUGUCGCUUUAAUACUUCAUUACCGACUCUUAAAGGUGUCAUAGCUAUGAUUAAAAAUUCCUACCAAAUAGAAAAAAUAUCUACCUCCUUUUACAGAUCCCCUAGAGCAAGAGAGAAAUUUGAUAGUAA